rnacentral:misc_RNA from 1 species
CUUUUUAAGAAAAGGAAAGGCAAAGAUAAGGAGCAGGAAGAUAUGGCUCUACAGAUUGCUCAGAUGAUCAUAAGUGACGUCACCUCCGUCACCCAGGCUAUUGGUGCUAUGCAAAAUUUGGAUCCACCAUCUCACGACUCAUGAGAUCAGCAGUCUUAACAACCAGUGCAUAUACAAACCCAGGAUCCACCACCCCACGACUCAUGAGAUCAGCAGUCUUAACAACCAGUGCAUAUACAAACCCAGGAUCCACCACCCCACGACUCAUGAGAUCAGCAGUGUUUACAACCAGUGCAAUAACCUCUCUCUGAUUUGCCCAUUUGUAGCAAGUCCUAUUUGUUUUUAUGUAUGAUGAUAGUCAUAUAUUAUUGGUUUGGUUUAUUAAAGAGAUUGUUGAUUUUAACUUUUGUUUUUCCUUGGUAGAACAUGUAUUCCGUAUUUACUUCCAUCUUCCAAAGGAAAGAUCAAAUGUUAAUCCCUUUUACAUUUCAUAAUUGACUCUGGAAAGUGUCCUAUAUUUUAAGAAGUUGUUUCUGAAAUAAAGAGUAUUCUAUCUAAUCUUC